UACGGAGGGGGCUAGCGUUGUUCGGAAUUACUGGGCGUAAAGCGCACGUAGGCGGCUUUGUAAGUUAGAGGUGAAAGCCCAGGGCUUAACCCUGGAAUUGCCUUUAAGACUGCAUCGCUAGAAUCGUGGAGAGGUGAGUGGAAUUCCGAGUGUAGAGGUGAAAUUCGUAGAUAUUCGGAAGAACACCAGUGGCGAAGGCGACUCACUGGACACGUAUUGACGCUGAGAUGCGAAAGCGUGGGGAGCAAACAGG
rnacentral:rRNA from 1 species